AUAUUGUACAUUGGGCGAAAGCCUGAUCCAGCCAUGCCGCGUGUGUGAAGAAGGUNUUNNGAUUUNANAGCACUUUAAGUUGGNNNNNAGGGUUGUAGGUUAAUACCCUGCAAUUUUGACGUUACCAACAGAAUAAGCACCGGCUAACUCCGUUCCAGCAUCCGCGUUAAUACGAAGGGUGCAAGCGUUAAUCGGAAUUACUGGGCGUAAAGCGCGCGUAGGUGGUUCGUUAAGUUGGAAGUGAAAGCCCCGGGCUUAACCUGGGAAUUGCUUUCAAAACUGACGAGCUAGAGUACGGUAGAGGGUAGUGGAAUUUCCUGUGUAGCGGUGAAAUGCGUAGAUAUAGGAAGGAACAUCAGUGGCGAAGGCGACUACCUGGACUGAUACUGACACUGAGGUGCGAAAGCGUGGGGAGCAAACAGG
rnacentral:rRNA from 1 species